rnacentral:rRNA from 1 species
AAACUUUGAUAGGCCACUACGCCCCCUAUCCGCCUGGGUACUACGAGCACGAGCUUGAAACCCAAAGGACUUGGCGGUGCUUCACAUCCGUCUAGAGGAGCCUGUUCUAGAACCGAUAACCCCCGUUAAACCUCACCCUCCCUUGUUAGUCCCGCCUAUAUACCGCCGUCGUCAGCCUACCCUGUGAAGGCCCAGAAGUGAGCAAGAUUGGUAAAGCCCAAAACGUCAGGUCGAGGUGUAGUGUAUGAGAGGGGAAGAAAUGGGCUACAUUUCCUAACUUAGGAAAUACGAACAAUGAAUUGAAAUAAGCAUUAGAAGGUGGAUUUAGCAGUAAGCAGGAAAACAGAGUGUUCC